UAUAUAUCUACACGAGUCGCCACUUAAAUUAGGUUCAUUUCAAACAUCGAACUUUUCAUAUCACAAAUACAUUGACAUUAGGGCUCAUGCUCAUACCAUGUGCAAUUUGUAAUGUGGUGCGUUUAUUUCUCAUUGUUUUUUUCCAGCAUCCCGUUUAGGGUUCACGCGAUACACUGGACGUCGGCUUCGUGGCAGGGGUUAAAUAAAAGAGACUGCGAGGCACUGACGAUUACCUCAUUGAAGUUUGAACGACACCACAAACUGAUGAAUUAAGUAUAGGAAAUGUAAUAGAUCGAGGUAACAUGACAAUGACGACAUUAACUAGAUUGC